rnacentral:rRNA from 1 species
UACAGAGGUGGCAAGCGUUGUUCGGAAUUACUGGGCGUAAAGGGCGCGUAGGCGGCUUGGUCAGUCCCGUGUGAAAUCCCUCGGCUCAACUGAGGAACUGCACGGGAAACUGCCUGGCUUGAGUUCGGGAGAGGAAAGCGGAAUUCCGGGUGUAGCGGUGAAAUGCGUAGAUAUCGGGAGGAACACCUAUGGCGAAGGCAGCUCGCUGGGACGUUACUGACGCUGAGACGCGAAAGCGUGGGGAGCAAACAGG